GAUGAACGCUGGCGGCAUGCCUAAUACAUGCAAGUCGAGCGAAGCGGGGACGGGGGAGUAACACGUGGAGAACCUGCUAUAAGACUGGGAUAACUUCGGGGAACCGGAGCCAAUCCGGAUACUGAUCGAUGGAUCCGGGCUGCAUUAGCUAGUUGGUAAGGUAACGGCUUACAAAGGCAACGAUCCAUAGCCGACCUGAGAGGGUGAUCAGCCACACUGGAACUGAGAAACGGUCCAGACUCCUACGGGAGGCAGCAGUAGGGAAUCUUCCGCAAUGGGCGAAAGCCUGACGGAGCAACGCCGCGUGUGUGAUGAAGGCCUUCGGAUUGUAAAACUCUGUUAUUAGGGAAGCGGUACCUACUCAGAAAGCACCGGCUAACUACGUGCCAGCAGCCGCUGUAAUAC
rnacentral:rRNA from 1 species